rnacentral:rRNA from 1 species
AGGACGAACGCUGGCGGCGUGCUUAACACAUGCAAGUCGAGCGGAAAGGCCUUUCGGGGUACUCGAGCGGCGAACGGGUGAGUAACACGUGAGUAAUCUGCCCAUCGCUUCAGGAUAGCCAUCGGAAACGGUGAUUAAUACUGGAUAUGGCAUUCCUUCGCAUGGUUGGGGUGUGGUAAAGUUUUUUCGGCGGUGGAUGUGCUCGCGGCCUAUCAGCUUGUUGGUGGGUAAUCGGCCU